rnacentral:rRNA from 1 species
GAUGAACGCUAGCGGCAGGCUUAAUACAUGCAAGUCGAGGGGCAGCACGGGUAGCAAUACCUGGUGGCGACCGGCAAACGGGUGCGGAACACGUACGCAACCUUCCCAUAACUGGUGAAUAGCCUUUCGAAAGAGAGAUUAAUACACCGUAACAUAACGAAGAGGCAUCUCUUUGUUAUUAUAGGCUUCGGCCGGUUUUG